rnacentral:rRNA from 1 species
UCGAACCCUGCGAUGCAGAAGGACCCGUGAACAUGUAAACACAACUGGGUUUUGGAGAAAUGGGCCUUGGUCUAAAUCUUAAAAACCCAUCCGAUGUCCAUUUGUGGUGCCCUGUUUAGGGUAUCAUGGAUGAUUUUGUCGGACCAUAACAAACCCCGGCACGGCAUGUGCCAAGGAAAACAUAAUAUGGAAAGAUGGACUUGUCUUGUAUUGCCCCGUUUGCGGUGUGCAUUCAAGCUUUGGCCUACUUAGAACAAUAAAUGACUCUCGGCAACGGAUAUCUCGGCUCACGCAUCGAUGAAGAACGUAGCAAAAUGCGAUACUUGGUGUGAAUUGCAGAAUCCCGUGAACCAUCGAGUUUUUGAACGCAAGUUGCGCCCGAAGCCAUCAGGUUGAGGGCACGCCUGCCUGGGCGUCACACAUCGUGUUGCUCCACUCCAUAUUUCCCAAUUGGGUUUGUGGCGUGUUGGGGCGGAGAUUGGUCUCCUGUGCUGAUGGUGCGGUUGGCCUAAAUUAGAUUCCCCAUUUGCGGACACACGGUUAGUGGUGGUUGAAUAGACCUUCGUCUUUGGCUGUGUGUGCUGAGCUGCUUGGGAAGUACUAAUGAAAGACCCCCAAUAUCGUCAUUAGACGAUGCUUCGAC